UGGCUGAGUGGUAAAGCGCUUGACUCCAGAACCGAAGGUCCCGGGUUCGAAUCCCGG
rnacentral:tRNA from 1 species